rnacentral:rRNA from 1 species
CCUACGGGUGGCAGCAGUGGGGAAUAUUGCACAAUGGGGGAAACCCUGAUGCAGCGACGCCGCGUGAGUGAAGACGUAUUUCGGUAUGUUAAGCUCUAUCAGCAGGAACGAGACAAGACGGUACCUGACUAAGAAGCCCCGGCUAACUACGUGCCAGCAGCCGCGGUAAUUCGUAGGGGGCAAGCGUUAACCGGAAUCACUGGGUGUAAACGGAGCGUAGACGGCUGAGCAAGCCUGAAGUGAAAGGCGGGGGCCCAACCCCCGGACUGCUUUGGGAACUGUACGGCUGGAGUGCAGGAGAAGUAAGUGGAAUUCCUGGUGUAGCGGUGAAAUGCGUAGAUAUUAGGAGGAACACCAGUGGCGAAGGCAGCUUACUGGAGUGUAACUGACGUUGAGGCUCGAAAGCGUGGGGAGCGAACAGGAUUAGAUACCCGAGUAGUC